AUUGAACGCUGGCGGCAGGCUUAACACAUGCAAGUCGAGCGGAGACUUCGGUCUUAGCGGCGAACGGGUGAGUAAUACCUAGGAAUCUGCCUAUUAGUGGGGGAUAACGAAUCGAAAGGUUCGCUAAUACCGCAUACGUCCUACGGGAGAAAGGGGGGAGUCUUCGGACCUCUCGCUAAUAGAUGAGCCUAGGCCGGAUUAGCUAGUUGGUAGGGUAAAGGACCUACCAAGGCGACGAUCUGUAGCUGGUCUGAGAGGAUGGCCAGCCACACUGGAACUGAGACACGGUCCAGACUCCUACGGGAGGGCAGCAGUGGGGAAGUAUUGGACAAUGGGGGCGAACCCUGAUCCAGCCAUGCCGCGUGUGUGAUGAAGGCCUUCGGUUGGUUAAAGACCCUCGUCGAGGGGGACGGAA
rnacentral:rRNA from 1 species